GAGAGUCACAAGGGGAACUCCAGACACAAGCUUAAAGCUGCACCUAGAAGACUUCCUAGUAAUGCACCUAUUGAAUUGAUAAACUGCAAAGGACUUGGCUUUGUGGACCUCAAAUUGCUGGCACUAUCUUCCUAAAUCACUGUGACUGCAGUUGCAAUACUCAGAUGGAUGAACUCCCUAUUUACUUAAUUUGGGAUUCUGAAACGCGUUCACUUAUCAGAAAAGCUGCAGCAGCUGGGAUUUCUUGAGAGCUGCGGUGGUGCCCCUAGAUCUUCUACACCACACACAUCUUACCUCACUUCACCUUUACAAGCUGGGCCUUUACCUUGAAUCUGUUCUGUGUACCAAGCUGGAAGGCAACUAGCCACACAGAGAACACUAGUGUUUUGAUUAAAAGCUAUUAAACCACAUUUGACUUGUCCAAAAUUUAAUGUGGUUCAUAAUGGAGUUUUAUGAGCUAUUGAGUUUUCUGGCACCAUAAACUGAUUUUGUUAAUGGCUUUCAGCAGUUGUUACUUAAAGCAAUGUUAAAAAAUAAUGAAGAAGGAACUGAAUGCAAAGGGUGAGCUUGCUUCUCAAGACCGCAGUUCUUUCCUUUCCUUGCUGGAGAGCAUUAGCAAGGGUAAGGAAGAAUUAAACUGAUUCAUUGUGCUCUCUCUGUGUGAGAGAGCUCACUGCAGACCCUGUAUUUUUAAAUGGAUAUGAACUUGCUGACUGCAAUCCUGAGUUUUAACUUGUAUGUUAGGUUGACUGAUGAACACUCAGCACCAGACAGAUAAGCCAGGCAUUUAAUCUAUCUACUGUAUGUGUUCAGUCAGACUAAAGCUUUAUCAAUCACGACAAACUGAUUUCAAGAGCAUAUUGUAUAGUUUCCUGUUACCACAAAUCACUGAAUUUGGAACCUUUAACAUCUUAACCACCUCCUUCAUGAGGCAACUGAAAGUAUCCAUGUAUGUAUAAGUACCUUAUUUUGUGCCCUUGUGGAAGAUUUGCAUCUUAUAAUUACUCAGCACAUUUUUUUUUCUUGCAGCCCUUAGUUAAAAUAAGGGAAGGCAAAAGAAGGAAGAGCUUAAUAAAUGUAAAAAAAUCUCAAUUUGAAAUUGAGAAUAACUUUGUUGAAUCACUUUUUAACUCACUUCCUUGGGUAUCUUCUGAAACAGCCUUUUAUUUCCUACAGUGAAAAGUAAAAACUGUUAAAAGCAUUAAAAGUGCAUAUGUGAAUUGCAGAAUAAAAUCCAGUGCCAAGAGAGGCAACAGACAUUAUCUUUUCUUAAAGG